rnacentral:rRNA from 1 species
UGGAGGGCAAGUCUGGUGCCAGCAGCCGCGGUAAUUCCAGCUCCAAUAGCGUAUAUUAAAGUUGUUGCAGUUAAAAAGCUCGUAGUUGAACCUUGGGCCUGGCUGGCCGGUCCGCCUCACCGCGUGCACUGGUUCGGCCGGGCCUUUCCCUCUGGGGAACCCUAUGGUCUUCACUGAUCGUAGCGGGGAACCAGGACUUUUACUGUGAAAAAAUUAGAGUGUUCAAAGCAGGCCUAUGCUCGAAUACAUUAGCAUGGAAUAAUAAAAUAGGACGUGUGGUUCUAUUUUGUUGGUUUCUAGGACCGCCGUAAUGAUUAAUAGGGACAGUCGGGGGCAUCAGUAUUCAAUUGUCAGAGGUGAAAUUCUUGGAUUUAUUGAAGACUAACUACUGCGAAAGCAUUUGCCAAGGAUGUUUUCAUUAAUCAGGAACGAAAGUUAGGGGAUCGAAGACGAUCAGAUACCGUCGUAGUCUUAACCAUAAACUAUGCCGACUAGGGAUCGGACGGUGUUAUUUUUUGACCCGUUUGGCACCUUACGGGAAAC